AGAAAUUCGGAUUAAUACCCCAUGUGAUCGAAAGAUUAAAGGCGGCGCAAGCUGUCGCUCCAAGGAGGGCUCGCGGCCUAUCAGCUAGUUGGCGGGGUAACGGCCCACCAAGGCGAUGACGGGUAGCUGAUCUGAGAGGAUGAUCAGUCACACUGGAACUGAGACACGGUCCAGACACCUACGGGUGGCAGCAGUCGAGAAUCAUUCGCAAUGGGCGAGAGCCUGACGGUGCGACGCCGCGUGGAGGAUGAAGGCCCU
rnacentral:rRNA from 1 species